GAGACGCCGACGACCGCCCCGCCGCCGGCGAGCCUCGUGGCCUGCACGGACAGCACCGGCGCCGGCAUCUCAUCCGCGCCGAGCUCCGGCACCAGUCCCCGGAACGCCGCGACGUCGUGCUCCUCGUCGCCGGCGAGGCGGCGGAGGUCGCCGCCGUCGGCCUCGGCCUCGACGAAGGCGACGCCGGGGCCGACGGCAGCGGCGGAGCAGUCAACGGCGACGUCGCCGGUGGCGGGGAGGUAGGCGAGCUUGCCGGCGAGGGGGAAGAAGCGGCGGAGGGUGGCGGAGAGGGAGGAUUUGAGGGAUUGGAGGAGGGCCGGGAAGGGGGGCAGGUCGGGGGAGGGCUCGUNAA
rnacentral:lncRNA from 1 species